UACGUAGGUGGCGAGCGUUACUCGGAAUUACUAGGCGUAAAGCGCGUGUAGGCGGAGGAUUAAGUCAGCUGUGAAAUCCAGGGCUCAACCCUGGGCGUGCGGCUGAUACUGGUCCCCUUGGGUCAGGCAGAGGCGGAUGGAAUUCCGGGUGUAGCAGUGAAAUGCGCAGAUAUCCGGAAGAACGCCGAGGGCGAAAGCAGUCCGCUGGGCCUUGGACCGACGCUGAGACGCGAAAGCCGGGGGAGCGAGC
rnacentral:rRNA from 1 species